rnacentral:rRNA from 1 species
GCUUGUCUCAAAGAUUAAGCCAUGCAUGUGUAGGUAUAACCUGUAUACCGGUAAACUGCGAAUGGCUCGGUAAAUCAGUUAUAGUUUAUUUGAUAGUGCAUCCUACUCGGAUAACCGUAGUAACACUAGAGCUAAUACGUGCGUAAAUCCCGACUUUUGGAAGGGACGUAUUUAUUAGAUUUAUGGCCAGCCGGGCUUGCCCGACCAGCGGUGAAUCAUGGUAACUUGACGGAUUGCAUGGCCUCCGUGCCGGCGACGUGUCAUUCAAGUUUCUGCCCCAUCAGGUUUCGACUGUAGUGUAUUGGACUACAGUGCCUAUAACGGGUAGCGGAGGAUUAGGGUUCGAUUCCGGAGAGGGAGCCUGAGAAACGGCUACCACAUCCAAGGAAGGCAGCAGG